rnacentral:rRNA from 1 species
CCUACGGGUGGCAGCAGUGAGGAAUAUUGGUCAAUGGACGCGAGCCUGAACCAGCCAAGUCGCGUGAGGGAUGACUGCCCUAUGGGUUGUAAACCUCUUUUAUAAGGGAAUAAAGAUGAGUAUGUGUACUCAGAUGUCCGUACCUUAUGAAUAAGGAUCGGCUAACUCCGUGCCAGCAGCCGCGGUAAUACGGAGGAUGCGAGCGUUAUCCGGAUUUAUUGGGUUUAAAGGGUGCGUAGGCGGUACAUUAAGUUAGUGGUAAAACGUCGGGGCUACACCUAGAUUUGCCAUUGAAACUGGGGUACUAGAGUGCAGACGAGGUAGGCGGAAUAAGUUAAGUAGCGGUGAAAUGCUUAGAUAUAACGUAGAACUCCGAUAGCGAAGGCAGCUUACCGGACUGUAACUGACGCUGAAGCACGAAAGCGUGGGUAUCGAACAGGAUUAGAUACCCCUGUAGUC